rnacentral:rRNA from 1 species
AACGAACGCUGGCGGCAUGCCUAACACAUGCAAGUCGAACGAGACCUUCGGGUCUAGUGGCGCACGGGUGCGUAACGCGUGGGAACCUGCCCUUAGGUUCGGAAUAACUCAGAGAAAUUUGAGCUAAUACCGGAUGAUGUCUUCGGACCAAAGAUUUAUCGCCUUUAGAUGGGCCCGCGUUGGAUUAGCUAGUUGGUGGGGUAAAGGCCUACCAAGGCGACGAUCCAUAGCUGGUCUGAGAGGAUGAUCAGCCACACUGGGACUGAGACACGGCCCAGACUCCUACGGAAGGCAGGAGUGGGGAAUAUUGGACAAUGGGCGAAAGCCUGAUCCAGCAAUGCCGCGUGAGUGAUGAAGGCCUUAGGGUUGUAAAGCUCUUUUACCCGAGAUGAUAAUGACAGUAUCGGGAGAAUAAGCUCCGGCUAACUCCGUG